GCUUCCAUGGCUCAGUUGGUAGAGCGACGCAUUCGUAAUGCGUAGGUCGCCGGUUCGAGUCCGGCUGGGAGCU
rnacentral:tRNA from 1 species